GCCUGAAGGACUUCCGGGAACCGCAAAGCACGGUGUGCCUCCGCUGUCCUGAAGAAAAAGCCGCGCGCGGACGACUGGCCGGCCCGCGCUUGCAGCUCCCAGAAGUUGACAGGCAUCCUCCGGUGACCGGUGUGAGUAUGGCAUCAGGAUGAUUUGACUGCAAGCAACAGAAAAAUCAAACAAAAAUGGCCUAAGCCAAGAAGAGAAAUGAUUAUUUCACAUUCCAAGAAGUUUGGGAGUCGAGUGGUUAAACGGCUAAUUAAUCUAGAGCUCAACAGUAUCACCCAGGACCCAUUUUCACUAUGGUGGCUAAAGCUCUGCACCCUUCAGGCUUGCACCAUGGCAGCAGCAGUGACAGUAAAGACACCCUUACACCACAAUGCUCCAUGACCAGGGAGAGGGUCUCCUCUCUCCUGCCCCUUUCUGGAGGCUCCACCGAAGAUUUCUCUUCACAUUCCGUUUCUCAUUCCUGAAGCAGUUGCUGGCAACAGGGAUGGACUUACCGCAAUGGGUACAGAGCAACUAAGAUUCACCACUAGUGAACCAUUUAGGGAUGGCCACGUGACUCAGUUCUGGUCACCAAGGUGGUGGAAGAGAAGUUCUCUUGAGGGGCAUCUGGGAAAGAUUCUUCUGCCUGAUAAAACAGGAGGCUGGAGUGCAGUGGUACAAUCUCAGCUCACGGCAAACUCGGCCUUCUAGAUUCACGCCAUUCUCCUGCCUCAGCCUCCCAAGUAGCUGGGACUACAGGCACCCACCACCUGGCCUGGCUAAUUUUUUUUGUAUUUUUAGUAGAGACGGGGUUUCACCAUGUUAGCCAGGAUGCUCUCGAUCUCCUGACGUCGUGAUCCGCCAGCCUCGGCCUCCCAAAGUGCUGGGAUUACAGGCGUGAGCCACAGCGCCCGGCCAAUUUCACAAAUAGAUUUUUUUUCUUACUGUAAAUCUUAGCAAGCUCAGCAUACGAAUUUUUUUUUCCUUAAAUUGAAAGCUUUUACCCUUUCACUUAAAGGCAGCACUUUAUGGCUUCUCUUGGGCAUAUCCAAAUUGCUACCAUCACUACUCGUAUUAGUCCAUUUUCACGCUGCUGAUAAAGACAUACCUGAGACUGAGAAAUUUACCAAAUAAAGAGGUGUACUGGACUUACAGUUCCACAUGGCUGGGGAGGCCUCACAAUCAUGGUGGAAGGCAAGAAGGAGCAAGUCAUGUCUUACAUGGAUGGCAGCUGGCAAAGAGAAAGCUUGUACAGGGAGACUCCCGUUUUGAAAACCAUCAGAUCUUGUGAGACUCAUUCACUAUUACAAGAACAGUGCAGGAAAGAUGCACCCCUGUACUUCAAUCACCUCCCAGCAGGUUCCUCCCACGACAUGUGGGAAUUGUGGGAGUUACAAUUCAAGAUGAGAUUUGGUUGGGGACACAGCCAAACCAUAUCACUACUCUUGUGCUUUGGGGCCAUUAUGAAGUAAAACAAGCAUUAUUUGAACACAAGAACUGCAAUACCACCACAGUAGAUCUGAUAACUGUUGGCUACUAAGUGACUAAGGGGCAGGUGAAGUAUACAGCUUGGAUGCGAUGGACAAAGAGGAAGAUCUACCUCCCAGCUGGGAUGGAGCAGGACGAUGCAAGAUUUCAUCACACUACUCAGAAAGGCAUGCAGUUUAAAGCUCGUAAAUUAUUUCAGGAAUUUUCCAUUUAAUAUUUUCAGGCUGUGGCUGACCGUGAGUAACAAACCCAGGAAAGCGAAACUGCAGAACAGUGGAUGGGAGAAAGGGUGAAUUACUGUAUAUUCAUGAGGGAUAUUAGUCCAUAGUUUCUUUUUUCCCUUUUAACAAAUUUUUGGGUUUUGUAUAUAGUUUGUCUGGUUUUGGUAUCAGGGUAAUACUAGCUUCAUAAAAUGAAUUGGAAAGCGUUUCUUCUGUUUUCCUAAAAAGAUUAUAUGGAAUUAGCAUUCAUUCUUUAAACACUUGGUAGAAAUCUUAAGUAAAACCAUCUGAGCUCGGAGAUUUUUUUGUGUGUGUUAUAAAAUUACAUAUUCAGUUUCCUUAAUAUUUAUAAGAUCAUUUUAAUUAUCUGUGUUUUUCAGUGAAACGGGUCAAUUUUCUGUAUGUUGUCAAAUUAAUAUUUGUAGAAUUGUAUUAGUAUUCUUCAUUAUCCUUUUGAUGUCUGCAGAAUCUGUAAUGGUAUCCCUGUUUUAUUUCUGAUAUUAAUUUGUGCCAUUAUGUCUUUUUUUCUUUGUUGAUCUUGUCAGAAGUUUGUCAAUUUUAUCAAUUUGUUCCAAGAACCAGCUCAUU
rnacentral:lncRNA from 1 species